rnacentral:tRNA from 1 species
UGCGGGGUGGAGCAGAGGUAGCUCGUCAGGCUCAUAACCUGAAGGUCAGGGGUUCGAAUCCUCUCCCCGCUACUA